GACAUAGGUGGCGAACGUUAUCCGGAAUUAUUGGGCGUAAAGGAUGCGUAGAUGGUAAAAUAAGUUAUUGGUCGAUGUUAAACUCAAUUUGACGGAAGCUGGUAAUACUAUUCUACUUGAGGAUAGAAGAGGUUGGCGGAACUCUAUGUGGAGGGGUGAAAUUCGUAGAUAUUGGGAAGAACACCGGUGGCGAAGGCGGCGAGCUGGUCCAUUACUGACGCUGAGGCGCGACAGCGUGGGGAGCAAACAGG
rnacentral:rRNA from 1 species